GUGGGGAAUCUUGCGCAAUGGGCGAAAGCCUGACGCAGCCAUGCCGCGUGAAUGAUGAAGGUCUUAGGAUUGUAAAAUUCUUUCACCGGGGACGAUAAUGACGGUACCCGGAGAAGAAGCUCCGGCUAACUUCGUGCCAGCAGCCGCGGUAAUACGAAGGGGGCUAGCGUUGCUCGGAAUUACUGGGCGUAAAGGGCGCGUAGGCGGACAGCUUAGUCAGAGGUGAAAGCCCAGGGCUCAACCUUGGAAUUGCCUUUGAUACUGGCUGUCUUGAGUUUGGGAGAGGUGAGUGGAACUCCGAGUGUAGAGGUGAAAUUCGUAGAUAUUCGGAAGAACACCAGUGGCGAAGGCGACUCACUGGCCCAAUACUGACGCUGAGGCGCGAAAGUGUGGGGAGCAAACAGGAUUAGAAACCCCGGUAGUCC
rnacentral:rRNA from 1 species